UAAGAACACUGUUUGUUCUUAAAAUACAAACGUUUUAUUGAUCUUGAACAAAUGCGUACAUAUAUUUUGUCUCCUACAGGCGUACCCACUUCUCCCCUAAAUGCCAUGAUGUUCUAUUGAAAGAGAACUUGCAUCUUCAGCCAGUUUAGAAUAUAAAGUAGACAAUCUCAUUAUUCUCAGUGCUGAAUAAUAAUUUAAAGGACAG